AUGUUUGGUCUCCAUUCAAAUCCAAACCGACUUCUCUUUCUCUACUCUCACAUCUCUCUUUAUCUGAUUCAGAAGCGCCGUCGCGCCGGCACGCCCCUCGGCGGAGAAUGCAAAUCAGAAAAUAAAAUUGAGACCACUAGUGGACUUGUUUCACUCUCCUCAACUCGAAUCUGGUUUGGCACUCAUGCUACGUUAGGCUUUGUGCCAUAUUGGUGA